GACGUAGGGCGCGAGCGUUGUCCGGAUUUAUUGGGCGUAAAGAGCUCGUAGGCGGCUUGUCGCGUCGUCCGUGAAAACCCACAGCUCAACUGUGGGCUUGCGGUCGAUACGGGCAGGCUAGAGUUCGGUAGGGGAGACUGGAAUUCCUGGUGUAGCGGUGAAAUGCGCAGAUAUCAGGAGGAACACCGGUGGCGAAGGCGGCAUCCUGGACCGGUAUUGACGCUGAGGCGCGAAAGCCAGGGGAGCAAACGGG
rnacentral:rRNA from 1 species